ACCUACGGGGCGCAGCAGUAGGGAAUCUUCCACAAUGGGCGAAAGCCUGAUGGAGCAACGCCGCGUGGGUGAAGAAGGUCUUCGGAUCGUAAAACCCUGUUGUUAGAGAAGAAAGUGCGUGAGAGUAACUGUUCACGCUUCGACGGUAUCUAACCAGAAAGCCACGGCUAACUACGUGCCAGCAGCCGCGGUAAUACGUAGGUGGCAAGCGUUAUCCGGAUUUAUUGGGCGUAAAGGGAACGCAGGCGGUCUUUUAAGUCUGAUGUGAAAGCCUUCGGCUUAACCGGAGGAGUGCAUUGGAAACU
rnacentral:rRNA from 1 species